rnacentral:pre_miRNA from 1 species
AAUAAACUAAUUUUCUAUUUUUUACCUUCAAUUUUUGACUCUUCGUCUUAUUUAAUUUUUUUUGCGAUUGAUAUUUUUGUUUUUAUUAGAUGAUAAAUAAUUUUACGUGUGACUAAUUUUUUUCUAAUUUUCUGAAUUUUUUUUCAAAUAAAACGGAUAGUCAAAUAUUGAACACGGAAACCGGAGAAUUCGUUUUUU